rnacentral:rRNA from 1 species
GCGAAAGCAGGUCAUAGUGAUCCGGUGGUUCUGAAUGGAAGGGCCAUCGCUCAACGGAUAAAAGGUACUCCGGGGAUAACAGGCUGAUACCGCCCAAGAGUUCAUAUCGACGGCGGCGUUUGGCACCUCGAUGUCGGCUCAUCACAUCCUGGGGCUGAAGUAGGUCCCAAGGGUAUGGCUGUUCGCCAUUUAAAGUGGUACGCGAGCUGGGUUUAGAACGUCGUGAGACAGUUCGGUCCCUAUCUGCCGUGGGCGCUGGAGAAUUGAGGGGGGCUGCUCCUAGUACGAGAGGACCGGAGUGGACGCAUCACUGGUGUUCGGGUUGUCAUGCCAAUGGCACUGCCCGGUAGCUAAAUGCGGAAGAGAUAAGUGCUGAAAGCAUCUAAGCACGAAACUUGCCCCGAGAUGAGUUCUCCCUGAGACUUUAAGUCUCCUGAAG